rnacentral:rRNA from 1 species
GAUGAACGCUGUCUACAGGCUUAACACAUGCAAGUCGAGGGGAAACGACGGGGAAGCUUGCUUCCCCGGGCGUCGACCGGCGCACGGGUGAGUAACGCGUAUCCAACCUGCCUCUGACUGAGGGAUAACCCGUCGAAAGUCGGCCUAAUACCUCAUGGCAUCGUCUGCGGGCAUCCAACGACGAUUAAAGAUUUCAUCGGUCAGGGAUGGGGAUGCGUCUGAUUAGCUUGUUGGCGGGGUAACGGCCCACCAAGGCUACGAUCAGUAGGGGUUCUGAGAGGAAGGUCCCCCACAUUGGAACUGAGACACGGUCCAAACUCCUAAGGGAGGCAGCAGUGAGGAAUAUUGGUCAAUGGGCGGGAGCCUGAACCAGCCAAGUAGCGUGCAGGAUGACGGCCCUAUGGGUUGUAAACUGCUUUUAUGCGGGGAUAAAGUGAGGGACGUGUCCUUCAUUGCAGGUACCGCAUGAAUAAGGACCGGCUAAUUCCGUG